rnacentral:rRNA from 1 species
CUAACUUCGUGCCAGCAGCCGCGGUAUACGAAGGGGGCUAGCGUUACUCGGAAUUAUUGGGCGUAAAGCGUGCGUAGGCUGCUUAGUAAGUCAAAAGUGAAAGCCUUGGGCUCAACCUAAGAAUUGCUUUUGAAACUACUAAGCUUGAGUACUGUAGGGGGUAGCGGAACUCCUAGUGUAGGGGUGAAAUUCGUAGAUAUUAGGAGGAACACCGGAGGCGAAAGCGGUUAUCUGGACAGUCACUGACGCUGUUGCACGAAAGCGUGGGGAGCAAACAGGAUUAGAUACCCUGGUAGUCCACGCUGUAAACGAUUAGAGUGCUAAA